AUGGUUGUCGUCAGCUCGUGUCGUGAGAUGUGGGUUAAGUCCCGCAACGAGCGCAACCCUCGACCUUAGUUGCCAGCAUUCAGUUGGGCACUCUAAGGUGACUGCCGGCUAAAAGUCGGAGGAAGGUGGGGAUGACGUCAAAUCAUCAUGCCCCUUAUGACCUGGGCUACACACGUGCUACAAUGGGCGGUACAAAGGGUCGCGAACCCGCGAGGGGGAGCCAAUCCCAAAAAGCCGCUCUCAGUUCGGAUUGCAGGCUGCAACUCGCCUGCAUGAAGCCGGAAUCGCUAGUAAUCGCGGAUCAGCAUGCCGCGGUGAAUACGUUCCCGGGCCUU
rnacentral:rRNA from 1 species